rnacentral:snRNA from 1 species
AUCUUUACGCUUGCGGCAAUGACGCAGCUAGUGAGGUAAAACCGAGGUGCGUCAAUUGCUGGUUGAAAACUAUUUCCAACCACCCUCGUUGGUGAUAAAUUGUGAAGCGGGAAAUGCACA